UUUUAUUUUGAAGGCUACUUUUGUGCAGCUUCACCUCUAUCUCAAAAGUCCAAGUCAGUUAGCAACGACGACAAAAAAGCGAACAAUAACUUGGUCUCCUGUGUGUCACAGAGUUCUGGAACAGUGUGCACUCAAAUUUUUGUAAUCUUUCAAAUUCAGUUAUGGCACUUGAUAUGCGGUCCAGAAGAGCAAAGAGAUUAUUAGAAGAGCAUGAUGGUGAGAAUUGUAAAGGUGAAGAAGAAGUGCAAGCAAUGGACAAUUGUCACAGACUUUGUCCGCUGAUAGCUGAAAUUGGAAAUAUUGGUCUUGCU